GAACCUGCGGAAGGAUCAUUACUGAGAGGUUACUAAGACUCUUGGGUUGAGUUUCUUUACUCUUCUCUUGAGUUUCCUCACGGUUUUGUGCAAUGUUGGGUCACCUUGGUUGACUCUGCCCUAAGUUAUUGGGCUGGCCUUUGGGGCCCCUAGUAUGAUUUAUCAUACUAACCCCAGAGGUUAAUUUCUACUAUGUCUAUGAAUUGAUGUAUGAAAAAAGUUAUUUGUUAACUUGAAGGCUUUUGCUGUAAAAAGUGAGUCUUUAAAAACAACUCUUGGCAAUGGAUCUCUUGGUUCUCGCAUCGAUGAAGAGCGUAGCAAAGUGCGAUAAUUAUUGCGACUUGCAUUCAUAGUGAAUCAUCGAGUUCUUGAACGCAUCUUGCGCCUAGUAGUCAAUCUACUAGGCACAGUUGUUUCAGUAUCUGCAUCCACCAAUCAACACGACUUGCUUGUGUUGGAACUGGGCUUACUUUUGAUGGCAUUUAGUUGCUGUCAUGGCCUUAAAUGUAUUUAGUCCUAGGUGUUAACUUGUUAAUGCCGGAUGGAGACUCUAGAGUGCCUUAGAAGCAGCUUGGUUAGUGAGUUCAUAAUUCCAAGUGUUAGUCUUUUAUUGAACUGGGUUUCUAGUCUAUGGGACAUGGAGUCGUAAGACUCUUAAACAACAAACUCACAUUUAGAUCUGAAAUCAACUGAGACCACCCGCUGAACUUAAGCAUAUCAAUA
rnacentral:rRNA from 1 species